rnacentral:rRNA from 1 species
CAGCAGCCGCGGGAAUACGGAGGGUGCAAGCGUUAUCCGGAUUCACUGGGUUUAAAGGGUGCGUAGGCGGGCAGGUAAGUCAGUGGUGAAAUCUUCGAGCUUAACUCGGAAACUGCCGUUGAUACUAUCUGUCUUGAAUAACGUUGAGGUGAGCGGAAUAUGUCAUGUAGCGGUGAAAUGCUUAGAUAUGACAUAGAACACCGAUUGCGAAGGCAGCUCACUAAACGCUCAUUGACGCUGAGGCACGAAAGCGUGGGGAUCAAACAGGAUUAGAUACCCCCGUAGUCCCUGUCUCUUAUAA